rnacentral:rRNA from 1 species
GACGAACGCUGGCGGCGUGCCUAAUACAUGCAAGUCGAGCGCAGAAAGGUGGUACUUGUACCUAUUGGAUGAGCAGCGAACGGGUGAGUAACGCGUGGGUAAUCUGCCUUUGAGAGGGGGACAACAUCUGGAAACGAAUGCUAAUACCGCAUAAAAUCUUUAAACACAAGUUUCAAGAUUGAAAGAUGCAAUUGCAUUACUCAAAGAAGAUCUCGCGUUGUAUUUGCUAGUUUGGUAGGUUAAGGCCUACCAAGGCGAUGAUACAUAGGCCAACCGAGAGGGGGGUCCGCCCCAUCUGGACCGGGACACGGCCCAAACUCCCUCGGGGAGCCGCAGUAGGGGAUCUUUGGCAAUGGGCGGAAGUCUGACCGGGCAACGCCGCCGGAGUGGAGGAGGUUUUCGGGUCGGUAAACUCUGUUUAUAGGGAAGAACGAAAGGGGUAAUGGAAAGCUCAUGUAGUGACGGUACCUACUCAGAAAGGGACGGCUAACUACGUG